UUGCUUCAGCAGCACAUAUACUAAAAUUGGAACACUACAGAGAAGAUUAGCAUGACCCCUGCAUGAGGAUGACACAAAUUUGUGAAGCAUUCCUUAUGUUU
rnacentral:snRNA from 1 species